UACGUAGGUCCCGAGCGUUGCCCGGAUUUAUUGGGCGUAAAGCGAGCGCAGGUGGUUUAUUAAGUCUGGUGUAAAAGGCAGUGGCUCAACCAUUGUAUGCAUUGGAAACUGGUAGACUUGAGUGCAGGAGAGGAGAGUGGAAUUCCAUGUGUAGCGGUGAAAUGCGUAGAUAUAUAGAGGAACACCGGUGGCGAAAGCGGCUCUCUGGCCUGUAACUGACACUGAGGCUCGAAAGCGUGGGGAGCAAACAGG
rnacentral:rRNA from 1 species